UAUUUUACCCACUUGAUUGACCAAGUAAGAUUACUUGCAUAUCAUGCACAUUAUGGCCCUGUAUUAUUUGAAGUUGAAAUUAUGUUAAAUACUUUGCAUGUAAGCACAUAAGGGUCAAUAUCUCAGUAACUGCGUGAUGUAAAGCAUUGGGACGUUAUAUAAUUGUACUAAACUAACCGACCUACUUAAUACUUCAACUAAGAUAAGAAAAGUGCAUUAAGUGCGAAUUUAGUGCGAAUUGGGGCAAAUUUUUAUCAACUUAACUUUAUUAUGCUACUAUCUCACCUACAUAAUCAGUCAAGUAAGAUAAAUUACAAUGUCAUUUGAAUAAAUGCUAAUUAUGACACUUUAUUAUUCGAUUAACAAAUUCCGAUUACUGUUUUUCGUGUUAGCACGCAUAAGUUAAAACGGACUUGAGGCCUAGCGCUUUCGCUCGACUACAAAUCCAAUACGGUAAUAUACAUUCGGAAAGUGACUACUUCCUUUUUGCCCGAGAGAUGCCCUUAAUUUUUUGGUUCAGCUAAUGGGAACCAGAAAUCUUAACCAGAAAACCCAAUCGGAACUCCUCGGCUAGUAUCAAGAUAUGGCCUCGGAUAUAAUACGGGUCGUAAGAAAAUAGUCCAUCAUGGCCGACCAAGAAGAUGUUCAAACAACCAAGAGAUAUGUUAGUCCAAAGACAGAAUGAGGAGCGAACUUUUACCACUUAUUUGUGUAGAAGAGUAUGGUACCAGGGGUGCAGCUGACUCUGAUUCCCGGCUUGUUCUAUUGAAAAAAGGCAGAUGAGGCACUGGAAUCCGAAUGUAAUCAAAAAUGCCAUUGUAUGAGGAUUGACCUGCAAUGCAUGGCAAUCAUCUUAACACAACUGCAACGCCUUCCUUGGAAAAAUGAGUGCAAGAUGGAAACAAAGCGUUCAGUGGAACAUCUUGUCAUCUCAAAUAUUUGAUGACUUACAUACUGAUGUGAAGUUGAAGAUAAAAGUCAUCUGUUGGUCCGUGAUAAUUAAAUAAAUCCGAACAUAUAUUUUAAAAGGGUAAAAUGGUAAAGGAUUUAUAUACACUUUAAGUGGUUUUCCUAUAUUAUGGAGGGAAGAUAACUACAAAAACAGAAACAGAUGGCAUCGGCAGACCAAAUAAAGGAGAACUAUUUUAUUCAGUUCAAUUUUUAAGACUUCAGAAAAUCUGUUAAUAGGGCACAUCUUUGCAAGUGCCAUAUUGUAAACUGGGCUCUUUAAAAUGUGAAAAGGUGAAAGUGGUCUAGAGGAUAAGCCCCAAAUUCAAGGUUGUGAGUUCAAGACCUCCAAGAUACUUUCUCUUGACCUCAGGAAAAGGAUGUCCAUACUUGUUUCUUCUUAGGCAACAGACUUAAGAGUGAUUUUGUAAGCUUCCAGCUUGCAUAGCAAUCUGAUAAGGCAUAAAAUAAGAUACUAGCUGACUUGCAAACAGUUUUUCCAUUUGUGUUGAUUUAUUUUUCAGUCUGUUUGAAUGGUUAUUAGAAGUGAUGCGCAUUGCUUACUGCAACCAAUAUUUAUUUUCUUUAUUAAGUUGAAUUUAACGAACAUAUAACAUGACCUUUGAUUUUACAGAUGCAUGUUUAUUUCGUUGAUUGUAUGAGUUUAAUUUCUCAACUGAUGUAAUAAAAGUUAUUCUGAAUGACUGUCCUUUUUUGUUUGAAGAAAAUGUGUUGAGGUUUUGGCAUAGCAUAGUGUCAUCAUCAUCAUCAUCAUUGUUGUGUACAAAUAAAACAUUCAAAACAAUGUAUUAAAAACCAAACUGUCAAGCCAAGUACUCAAAGAGGCACAAGGGUAUUGCUAAAGAGACCGGUAAUACAAUUAGAAA